rfam:Prunus persica cultivar Lovell chromosome G6, whole genome shotgun sequence.
UUGCGAUGAUGAUUCAGUAACUACUUGAGAGUGUAAUAAUGCUCGAUGGAACUCCGACAAUUAUGUCGAUCUGAGCGGUUACCUGAGCAA